UAUAUAGCUCAUAGGUAGGAGACACAGAGAGCCUGGGAGAGGAGAGAGAGGAAGGUGUUAUAUAGCUCAUAGGUAGGAGACACAGAGAGCCUGGGACAGGAGAGAGAGGAAGGUGUUAUAUAGCUCAUAGGUAGGAGACACAGAGAGCCUGGGAGAGGAGAGAGAGGAAGGUGUUAUAUAAAGGUAGUAUUAACCAUCUCACCUGCCGAUUACCUAAACAUGCCAUUAGGCACAAAACAUGCAGAGGUUCUACCUGGAAC